rnacentral:sRNA from 1 species
AGUUCUCACUGAGACCCGUCACCCCGACUCAACGUGAGACGCACCGCCCGGACUCACCAUGCGUGAAUGCAUCUCAGUCCACGUGGGGCAGGCAGGUGUCCAGAUGGGCAAUGCCUGCUGGGAGCUCUAUUGCUUGGAACAUGGGAUUCAGCCUGAUGGGCAGAUGCCCAGUGACAAGACCAUUGGUGGAGGGGACGACUCCUUCACCACCUUCUUCUGUGAAACUGGUGCUGGAAAACACGUACCCCGGGCAGUUUUUGUGGAUCUGGAGCCUACAGUCAUUGAUGAGAUCCGAAAUGGCCCAUACCGACAGCUCUUCCACCCAGAGCAGCUCAUCACUGGGAAAGAGGAUGCUGCCAACAACUAUGCCCGUGGUCACUAUACCAUUGGCAAGGAGAUCAUUGACCCAGUGCUGGAUCGGAUCCGCAAGCUGGUGAGAAUGUGUCUUGGGAGGGAGGGAACUUUUAAGACUGUGCUAAUGGUCAGGAGUAUUUUUUUUGAGAUCCUUUCAGGGGGUCGUCUCUAACUGUACAUGGUCUCGAGUGUGGUGCUGCUAUGGUAUCCUCAGUAUUUGCCCUGACUGCUGAUGUAUCUUACGCUUUAUGGAGCCAGGUGAUAGAGUCCCUCAGGCCUCUCCCCUACCUAAACUGUUCUUUCUCGCAGUCUGACCAGUGCACAGGACUUCAGGGCUUCCUGGUGUUCCACAGCUUUGGUGGGGGCACUGGCUCUGGCUUCACCUCACUCCUGAUGGAGCGGCUCUCUGUUGACUAUGGCAAGAAAUCCAAGCUGGAAU